GAUUAGGCUAUUGAGUACUGCUAGAUGGAUGACUAGGUUUGAAACGCCGAUGAAGGACGUGACAAGCUACGAUAUGCUCUGGCGAGUCGAAUGUAGACAUAGAACCAGAGAUCUCCGAAUGAGACUUCUCAUUCAUACCCUUUGGGGUAAGGGAACGCGGGGAACUGAAGCGUCUUAGUACCCGCAGGAAAAGAAAUCAAUUGAGAUGCCGUUAGUAAGAGCGACCGAAAACGGUAUAGUUCAAACUGAAUCCAUUACCGUAAGGUAAUGGAGAUGUGGUGAUGGACUUCCCUUCCGGCCUUUUUGUCGACUUGAAGUUCUCUGGAAUGAGACAUGAUACAGGGUGACAGUCCCGUAAAGGAAAAUAGAAAGGUCUUAGGAAGUAUCCUGAGUAGCACUCCUCGGAAAUGGAGUGUGAAUAUGGGGGGCAUUAACCUCUAAAACUAAACACGUUUCAAAACCGAUAGCGUACGAGUACCGCGAGGGAAAGUUGAAAAGAACCCUUGACUGGGAGUUCAAAGAUUCUGAAAUCUAGCAGUUAUAGUAAGUCAGGGCUCUUAGGAGUUCUGACGUGCUUUUUGAAUAAAGCGCCAGGGAGUGUAUUUCUGUGGCAAGGAUAAUCUGUAAAAGGGUAUCCAGAGCGAAAGCAAAAUCCCGCAGUUUACGAGGGGAGUGGUAUGAAAGUGCCAUAAGUCACAGGAAUACGACCUGAAACCGAGCGAUCUAGUCCUGGGUAAGGUGAAGCGAGGGUAAAACUUCGUGGAGGCCUGCAGAGGUUCUACGUGCAAGUGUUCUUCUAACCUGGGAGUAGGGGUAAAAAGCCAAUCGAGCUCGGAGAUAGCAGGUUCCUGCCGAAAUUGACCUUAGUCAAGCUUCGGACGAGAUUGUUAUAGUUGUAGAGCGACGGAUAAGAGAUUAAGGCGAGGAAACUUGUCGGUCUUUUGUCCAACUCCAAAUGCUAUAACAUCAUAGACUCCGGAAGACAGGGAACCUUGGGGUAAGCUUGGUUUCCGAGAGGGGAACAACCCCGACUAUGGUUAAGGUCCCAAAGUGUCAGCUAAGUGAUAAAGGGUAAACGGUGUUCGUGAUCUGAGACAGCGAGGAGGUUGGCUUAGAAGCAGCCAUCCUUUAAAAAGUGCGUAACAGCUUACUCGUUGAGGUCGUGAGCCCGGAAGAUACACGGGUCUAAGCUGGCCACCGAUACCAUAGACCACGACAAGUGGGCGUAGGCAGGCGUCCUUGUAGGGCAAAAGCUUUUCCGUAAGGAGGAGUGAACCUACAUGGAAUGAAUAUCCUGGUGGUAGUAGGAUCAUAGUACGGUGAGAAUCCGUAUCAUCGAAAGGGCAAGGGUUCCUUGGCAAUGUCGAUCAGCCAAGGGGUAGUCGGUCCUAACCAACCUCUUAUCAGAGGAAAGGGAAAGGGAAAGCGGUUAAUACUCCGCUACUACUUUAGUAUGUGCGGUAACGCAAAUUUUGUUUCUAACGUUUCGGAAUAAGUUAACAUAUCCUGUCAGAUAUGUUAAUACGAAUAAAUCAUGGAAGUAUCGUAAUGAUGGGAACAUGAUUAAAUCGUAGAACAGCAGGCCUAUGGUUUGUUUGACCGAUUUCUGGAGCCCCUGAAAAGGGAACAAAAAUAAAUCUGAAGUAACCGUACCCAGAACCAGCACUGGUGCCCCUAGGUGAGAAGCCUAAGAUGUGAGAGUGUAAUCUAGCUCAGGGAAUUCGGCAAAUUAGUCCCGUACCUUCGGAAGAAGGGAUCCCUGCAUUCGUAUCUGCAUAGAUGCGAGUCCAGGGCGCAGUGACUAGGGUGGUCCGACUGUUUAACAAAAACUUAACCUUCUGCAAGGCUGUAAAGCUGUGUAUAGUCUGCCCAGUGCCAGUACUUUAAGCCUCGUUCCAACGGGGUGAAGAGCUGGUAAACGGCGGGAGUAACUAUAACUCUCUUAAGGUAGCGAAAUGCCUUGUCGUUUGAAUGACGACCCGCAUGAAUGGUAUAACGAGAUCGCCACUGUCCCGAGCUAGAGUCUCCCGAACACUCUUCGCCUGGUGGAAAGGCCAGGGAUUUCCAGUGGGAAGCGAAGACCCCGUGAAACUUUACUGUAGCCUGUCGCUGUAGUGUGGUUUUAGAUAUAUAGCGUAAGUGGGAGCUGUUUGAAGCCGUGGGCGUCAGCAUGCGGCUUAGGCGACGAUGUAACACCACUUAUCCGGAACUAUAUUACUGACCUCUUCGGAGGGACACCGAUUGGUGGACAGUUUGGCUGGGGGGGCACGCUGUCGAAAGGAUAUCGAUAGCGCCCAAUGGUUGGCUCAUCCGGUUUAGAAAUCCGGAGUGGAGUGCAAGGGCAUAAGCCAGCCUGAUUGGAUUUUGAACAUAAAGAAAUCCAAACGCGAAAGCGUGGCCUGACUGAAAAGUUACUCCGGGGAUAACUGAGUUGUCGCGCCCGAGAGUUCAUAUCGACGGCGCGGUUUGCUACUUCGAUGUCGGCUCUUCCUAUCCUGGCGGUGCAGAAUACUCCAUCAAGAAAGGUGGAAUCUGUUGGCUGCCAAGGGUGGGGGUGUUCACCCAUUAAAAGGGAUCGUGAGCUGGGUUCAGAACGCUGUGAGGCAGUUUGUUUGAUAUCUACUGGAAAUGUUGGGUGUCUGAAAGGAAGGAUCCCUUAGUACGAGAGGAACGGGGGUUCGCGGCCUCUGGUCGACCGAUUAUCUGACAAGGUAUGUCGGGCAGCUACGCCGUAGGUGAUAAGUGCUGAACGCAUCUAAGCACGAAACGCCCCUUAAAAAGAGACACCUUAGGACACCGCAAGAACAGCGGUUUGAUAGAAGCGAUGUGUACGCUGGGAGGUAACGACCAGUUCAGCAUGCGCUUACUAACGUCCAUAAAAUUCCUAAU
rnacentral:rRNA from 1 species